UACGUAGGGACCGAGCGUUGUCCGGAUUCAUUGGGCGUAAAGAGCUCGCAGGCGGCCACUCAAGUCGAAUGUGAAACCUCGAGGCUUAACCUCGAGCCUGCAUUCGAUACUGGGCGGCUAGAGUCUGGUAGGGGGAUCUGGAAUUCCUGGUGUAGCGGUGGAAUGCGCAGAUAUCAGGAGGAACACCGGUGGCGAAGGCGGGAUCCUGGGACGGUACUGACGCUGAGACGCGAAAGCGUGGGGAGCGAACAGG
rnacentral:rRNA from 1 species